GAACGCUGGCGGCGUGCCUAAUACAUGCAAGUCGAACGCACUUUCGUUAGAUUGAAGAAGCUUGCUUCUGAUUGAUAACAUUUGAGUGAGUGGCGGACGGGUGAGUAACACGUGGGUAACCUGCCCUAAAGUGGGGGAUAACAUUUGGAAACAGAUGCUAAUACCGCAUAAAACCUAGCACCGCAUGGUGCAAGGUUGAAAGAUGGUUUCGGCUAUCACUUUAGGAUGGACCCGCGGUGCAUUAGUUAGUUGGUGAGGUAAAGGCUCACCAAGACCGUGAUGCAUAGCCGACCUGAGAGGGUAAUCGGCCACACUGGGACUGAGACACGGCCCAGACUCCUACGGGAGGCAGCAGUAGGGAAUCUUCCACAAUGGACGAAAGUCUGAUGGAGCAACGCCGCGUGAGUGAAGAAGGUUUUCGGAUCGUAAAACUCUGUUGUUGGAGAAGAACGUAUUUGAUAGUAACUGAUCAGGUAGUGACGGUAUCCAACCAGAAAGCCACGGCUAACUACGUG
rnacentral:rRNA from 1 species